AGUGGGCCGGAUGGUCGCGGCUGCAAUUAUGCAGGUGAGGAAAGUCCGGGCUUCACAGGGCAGGAUGCCGGAUAACGUCCGGUGGAGGUGACUCCAAGGCCAGUGCAACAGAAAUAUACCGCCGGUUGUAUGACCGGUAAGGGUGGAAGGGCAGCUUAAGAGACUACCGCUUCUGCGGUAACGCAGAAGGCACAUGUAAACCCCAUCCGAAGCAAGACCAAACAGAAGCGAUGACGUGGCCCGCCAGCUUCAGGUAGGUUGCUUGAGCCUGCCGGUAACGGCAGGACUAGAUAGAUGACCAUUCAAGACAUAACCCGGCUUACAGGUCCACUGG
rnacentral:RNase_P_RNA from 1 species